CCAGACUCCUACGGGAGGCAGCAGUGGGGAAUAUUGCACAAUGGGGGAAACCCUGAUGCAGCGACGCCGCGUGAGCGAUGAAGUAUUUCGGUAUGUAAAGCUCUAUCAGCAGGGAAGAAAAUGACGGUACCUGACUAAGAAGCCCCGGCUAACUACGUGCCAGCAGCCGCGGUAAUACGUAGGGGGCAAGCGUUAUCCGGAUUUACUGGGUGUAAAGGGAGCGUAGACGGCAUGGCAAGCCAGAUGUGAAAUACCGGGGCUCAACCCCGGGACUGCAUUUGGAACUGUUAAGCUGGAGUGCCGGAGAGGCAGGCGGAAUUCCUAGUGUAGCGGUGAAAUGCGUAGAUAUUAGGAGGAACACCAGUGGCGAAGGCGGCCUGCUGGACGAUAACUGACGUUGAGGCUCGAAAGCGUGGGGAGCAAACAGGAUUAGAUACCCUAGUA
rnacentral:rRNA from 1 species